UUCUGGCUCAGGAUGAACGCUAGCGGCAGGCUUAACACAUGCAAGUCGAGGGGCAGCGGGAUGUAGCAAUACAUUGCCGGCGACCGGCGGAUGGGUGCGUAACGCGUAUGCAACCUACCUUAUACAGGGGAAUAACCUUUCGAAAGGGAGACUAACACCCCAUAGUAUUGAUUUAAGGCAUCUUAGAUUAAUUAAAUAUUUAUAGGUAUAAGAUGGGCAUGCGUAUGAUUAGCUGGUUGGUAAGGUAACGGCUUACCAAGGCGACGAUCAUUAGGGGUUCUGAGAGGAAGGUCCCCCACACUGGUACUGAGACACGGACCAGACUCCUACGGGAGGCAGCAGUGAGGAAUAUUGGUCAAUGGGCGCAAGCCUGAACCAGCCAUGCCGCGUGCCAGGAAGACGGCCUUAUGGGUUGUAAACUGCUUUUACAUAAGACUAACCGUAUAUUUGCGAAUAUACCUGAAUGUAUUAUGAGAAUAAGGAUCGGCUAACUCCGUGCCAGCAGCGGC
rnacentral:rRNA from 1 species